UCGUAACAAGGUUUCCGUAGGUGAACCUGCGGAAGGAUCAAUA
rnacentral:rRNA from 1 species